AAAUAGAUACCCCGGGUAGUCCACGCCGUAAACGAUGAGUGCUAAGUGUUAGAGGGUUUCCGCCCUUUAGUGCUGCAGCUAACGCAUUAAGCACUCCGCCUGGGGGAGUACGGCCGCAAGGCUGAAACUCAAAGGAAUUGACGGGGGGCCCGCACAAGCGGUGGAGCAUGUGGUUUAAUUCGAAGCAACGCGAAGAACCUUACCAGGUCUUGACAUCCUCUGCCAACCCUAGAGAUAGGGUGUUCCCCUUCGGGGGGACAGAGUGACAGGUGGUGCAUGGUUGUCGUCAGCUCGUGUCGUGAGAUGUUGGGUUAAGUCCCGCAACGAGCGCAGCCCUUGAUCUUAGUUGCCAGCAUUUAGUUGGGCACUCUAAGGUGACUGCCGGUGACAAACCGGAGGAAGGUGGGGAUGACGUCAAAUCAUCAUGCCCCUUAUGACCUGGGCUACACACGUGCUACAAUGGAUGGUACAAAGAGCUGCGAACCCGCGAGGGUAAGCCAAUCUCAUAAAACGCCAUUCUCAGUUCGGA
rnacentral:rRNA from 1 species